CAUUAGUUAGUUGGUGAGGUAACGGCUCACCAAGACUGCGAUGGGUAGCCGGCCUGAGAGGGUGAACGGCCACACUGGAACUGAGACACGGUCCAGACUCCUACGGGAGGCAGCAGUGGGGAAUAUUGCACAAUGGAGGAAACUCUGAUGCAGCGACGCCGCGUGAACGAUGAAGGCUUUCGGGUCGUAAAGUUCUGUCCUAGGGGACGAUAAUGACGGUACCCUAGGAGGAAGCCCCGGCUAACUACGUGCCAGCAGCCGCGGUAAUACGUAGGGGGCGAGCGUUGUCCGGAUUUAUUGGGCGUAAAGGGUUCGCAGGCGGUCUCUUAAGUUAGAUGUGAAAGAUCACGGCUCAACCGUGGUAAGCAUUUAAAACUGGGAGACUUGAGUUAAGGAGAGGAAAGUGGAAUUCCUAGUGUAGCGGUGAAAUGCGUAGAUAUUAGGAGGAAUACCAGUGGCGAAGGCGACUUUCUGGACUUAUACUGACGCUGAGGAACGAAAGCGUGGGGAGCAAACAGGAUUAGAUACCCUGGUAGUCCACGCCGUAAACGAUGGGUGCUAGGUGUCGGGGGUCAAACCUCGGUGCCGCAGCUAACGCA
rnacentral:rRNA from 1 species